GCAGAGUCCAAUCGGCGGGCGGGGUGUUCCGGCGGUGCCAAGAUGGCGGCCAGACUGGUUAUGUUUUUAUCUUGGAACGGGUCAGCUCGAAUAACUCUGGUGUCUUUGCAGUGACUUGAAGUGGUUUGGACUUGUUUAAACUGGAAGAUGUGGAGUGGACUUUUACCUCCAGGACUGAAUGAAAGUGAUGUUGACUUAAGUUCUGAUGAUGGAGACGAAUUGCAUGGUUCAUUUUCAAAGGAAGAUGCAAAAGAAGAUACCGAAACGGUGAAACUUUCCGAAUUCCAGGAGAAGGGACCCGAAAGCAAUGCCAUCAGUGAGCCCAUUGAGAUACCACUGACAGGUGGAGAAAAUGAAUCUCAAACAUGCCCUUCUGGAGUGUCUUUAAAUAUUUGGAAUAAAUUUUUGGAGCUUCAGAAGAAAAACCGUGAAAUGAAAACACAAGCAAAUCAGGAAAACAAAAGCCGAAAAAGAAAGCGCCGCAGAAAAGAAAAGCAGAAAAAGAACGAUGAAGUGACUAAGAGUAGUCAACAGUUGGCAUAUGAAGAUAAAUGGAAAGAACUUACACAAUACUUUGGAAUCAAUGACAGAUUCGAAUCACCUGUGGAUAGCAGGGCUCCACAAAAGUCUGGCCUUGAACUUAGCAUAGAGAAGUCUGUGGCCGAAGGUGACAUUGAUAAGGCUGAGGAGCUGAGUGACAGAUUAGCUACUCGUGAGCUUGGUGUGAAAAUUGCCAAAGCUGCUGCUUGCCGCAACUUUGUGAAAGCCAAGCAAGAAGCGGAGGCUGCCCAAGAAGCUCGAAAGAAAAAGAAGCUUGCUUGGGGAUUUGAAGCCAAGAAAAGAUGGGAAACAAAAAGCAACAUGGGAUACAUGUAACCCAUCCUGUUUUUCUCAGGAGUCAAAUACUUAGUUUUGCUUGAAGGAUCUUUGUCAGUGACUUCUUAAACCUAAACCCAAACAAAAAUCCCAACACAUCGAAUUCCUUGUGUUUCUUUGAAUGAUGUUAGAUUGCAGUAUCUUGUUUUGGCUCUCUCAUAAUAAAAAUGCUAUCUAAAUGUCAAUAGUAUGUUAAAUAUGGUAUUUUUUUUUUUAAAUUAAAAUCUAAGAUAAUGCAUUUGGAGUCUGGUAGAGAACUCUCUGAUGUUAGGAUAAAAUACUGGUUCCAUAUGUGUUCUGUGCUGCACAGCAGUUACAAUGUGUGGGUGUAAGGAGAAGGGUGAGUUUUCCUGCUAAGGUUAUACAGAGUUAGUGUACUAAGUACCACUUCUUGGGUUGCUUGAAAGUUUGGGGAGGCACUAAAUAAAGAAAAGUGAAACCACGCUACCUGUUUAAAAACAUCAUUAUUUAUGCAUUUAUGUACUUACUAAAUAUGAACAGAAAAAAAGUUGGCUGAAAAAAUCCAUCCUCCCUCUCCGGGGAGGAUCUGAUACUAUUCAUCAUGUCCUGCUGCCAUGUUCUUCAGAAUAUUUCAAAGUCUCAUUUUCCUUGCCUUCCCAAGAACUGAAGUUUGAAAAGUCCUAGUUUCUUUGAGCAGGUAAAGUAUAGAAAUACAUAUCUUGAUAUGUAUCUGGAAUACGUUACAUUGUGCAGUUAACUGUACCCAAGAAACAAAUGCAGGUUUUACUUCAAAUCAAAUGUUUUACAGAUCAAUUAGGAUUUGAAUGUUUAUGUUAAAAGAUUAUAACAGGAAUUGAUGAUAAUGUUUCUUCAAAAUUAUUCUCAGUGAAAAGUAAGGACACAUUCAGAACUAAUAACUUUUCUCCCUGAAGCUCUUGCGUAUAUGUUUAGUCACCACAAUGCCUGAAUUGAAUUGGUAAUGUAAAUGUCAGUUAUUGUUAACCAAGAUUAAUAUGUUUCAGGCCAAAGGUAUGGUAUUAGCGUAAUGGUGAUUUACUGUGUAAGUACUUGGGGCUAAAACAACUUGCCAACAAAUAGCAAUUUGAAGUUUUACGGCCCCAAUUCGAAGAGUUUAGGUUUGCAGUCCAACAUGGAAUAGUGCAUUUUUGUUCAUUAGCCCUCAGGAUGUUUGAUUCUUUUUUUUUUUUUUAAGCAGAGCAUCAUAUUUCUUUCACAAAGAUGAGAGUUUGCAAUAUGGUAAUCUGCAGUUAGCUGUAAUUAGUUACGAUGACAGAGCUGAACACAAUUGCCAGGAUUGUAAAUCAGGGACUAAACAGGUUUCUGCAGUAUAACAUCAUAAAUCUCACACUACAGUUUACAAACUGUAUUAGCUCUAGAAACUUUGGUGUGGAAGGAAACAAAUGAUAUCUCUUUGUGAUUAUGUAAAGUUAAAUUGCAUGUUUACUUGGAUAAACAGAUUGCACCAUGAACCUUCAUCAAGAUUUCUCUCAGUUCCAAAUAUUCCUGUCCAAAACUUCCAGGUUCUCGGUCCGUAAUUUCUUUGUUUUUUAAGCAGCUGGUAGACGAGUGUUAGACACAGUUGACCUUUCUGCUUGUUACAUACUGAAAAGCAGAAUGAUGCUGAUAAUUUUGUGCUGAAAACAUCAGCACUAUUCCAUUAAACAUUUAAAAGUAGCGUAUGUUAAACAGAGGCUAUACAUUUUCUUGUAAUAGUUGCUUUUCAUAGUAACAGUAUUUAUUAGUCAAAUAAAGAUCUUGAUCUUAAGGCUCUGUGCUGUUUGAUAUGAAAAUGUGAUUUAAAGGAAAUCCAAAGCCUCAAAACCCAGCUAUUGGCAGAGAGCUUGCCAGAUCAUAGACAGCAGUGCAUGCCCAGCCACCUGUAAUAUUUUUCACUUAAAAUAACCAAUUAGUUUUAUGUUAAGCCAUUAGGAAUGUAACUAUUUGGAAAGUAUGCAGCAUACUGGGCAUUGGGUUACUUGUGCAACGAAUUUUAAAAUGAUCACGUUUCAAGUAUUUUGUUCUCCCUAAAGUAUUCACUUAGAAUAUUAGUUAAUUCCCUGAAUUAUACUGUGUUCAAGAAAACCCAUCUGAUUAGCAGGGAAAAUACAAAAGCCUAAUACAGCUUUAUAGAGGUCAUCUGAAUACAUAAUAAAAAAAAAAUGAACGCAUAACUGUACUUUUAAUAAACAUCCUCCUAAAUUGCU